AGGACGAACGCUGGCGGCGUGCUUAACACAUGCAAGUCGAGCGAUGAAGCUUCUUCGGAAGUGGAUUAGCGGCGGACGGGUGAGUAACACGUGGGUAACCUGCCUCAUAGAGGGGAAUAGCCUUCCGAAAGGAAGAUUAAUACCGCAUAAGAUUGUAAUAUCGCAUGAUAUAGCAAUUAAAGGAGUAAUCCGCUAUGAGAUGGACCCGCGUCGCAUUAGCUAGUUGGUGAGGUAACGGCUCACCAAGGCGACGAUGCGUAGCCGACCUGAGAGGGUGAUCGGCCACAUUGGGACUGAGACACGGCCCAGACUCCUACGGGAGGCAGCAGUGGGGAAUAUUGCACAAUGGGGGAAACCCUGAUGUAGCCAACGCCGCGUGAGUGAUGACGGUCUUCGGAUUGUAAAGCUCUGUCUUCAGGGACGAUAAUGACGGUACCUGAGGAGGAAGCCACGGCUAACUACGUGCCAGCCGCAGC
rnacentral:rRNA from 1 species